rnacentral:sRNA from 1 species
UUUUGAAUGAUAUUUUAUAAAAUCCUGUUUAUGGAAAAUCCCUUAAUGCUUGCACUAUCCUUUUAAUUCUGUUAUUCUUAGGAAGAAUUAUUUUUGUUCGGUAUGCAAGGAAAGAACAUGCACUGCUUGAUUCGCCUGGAUAUCACUGAGACAAGAAUAGUAACAAAUUGUGUGGAUAUCACACUAGGAGGCAACAAAAAUGGAAAACGGUAAAGUAAAAUGGUUUAACGCAGAAAAAGGUUUCGGAUUCAUCGAACGUGAAGGUGGAGAAGACGUAUUCGUACACUUCUCAGCUAUCCAAGGCGAAGGCUUCAAGUCUCUUGAAGAAGGCCAAGAAGUUUCUUUCGACGUUGAGCAAGGCGCUCGUGGACCACAAGCAGCUAACGUUACAAAACUAUAAUAACGGAUUAGCCCAUACAAACAAGCUCUGAGUCAUCAGAGCUUGUUUUU